GGGAAAACUAGGUCUAAUACCGGAUAUGAACCUUCCCUGGCAUGGGGGUUGGUUGGAAAGUUCCGGCGGUACAGGAUGGACCCGCGGCCUAUCACUUGUUGGUGGGGUAAUGGCCUACCAGGCGACACGGGUAGCCGGCCUGAGAGGGUGACCGGCCACACUGGGACUGAGACACGGCCCAGACUCCUACGGGAGGCAGCAGUGGGGAAUAUUGCACAAUGGGCGAAAGCCUGAUGCACGACGCCCCGUGAGGGAUGACGGCCUUCGGGUUGUAAACCUCUUUCAGCAGGGACGAAGCGCAGUGACGGUACCUGCAGAAAAGCACCGGCUAACUACGUGCCAGCAGCCGCGGUAAUACGUAGGGUGCGAGCGUUGUCCGGAAUUAUUGGGCGUAAAGAGCUCGUAGGCGGUUUGUCGCGUCGGCCGUGAAAACUUGGGGCUUAACCCCGAGCUUGCGGUCGAUACGGGCGACUUGAGUUCGGCAGGGGAGACUGGAAUUCCGGGUGUACGGUGAAAUGCGCAAAUAUCAGGAGGAACACCGGUGCGAAGGCGGGUCUCUGGGCCGAUACUGACGCUAGGAGCGAAACGUGGGGACGAAAGGAUUAGAUACCCUGGGUAGUCCACGCCGUAACGGUGGG
rnacentral:rRNA from 1 species